rnacentral:rRNA from 1 species
AAAGACCCCGUGAACCUUUACUAUAGCUUGACACUGAACAUUGAGCCUUGAUGUGUAGGAUAGGUGGGAGGCUUUGAAGUGUGGACGCCAGUCUGCAUGGAGCCGACCUUGAAAUACCACCCUUUAAUGUUUGAUGUUCUAACGUUGACCCGUAAUCCGGGUUGCGGACAGUGUCUGGUGGGUAGUUUGACUGGGGCGGUCUCCUCCUAAAGAGUAACGGAGGAGCACGAAGGUUGGCUAAUCCUGGUCGGACAUCAGGAGGUUAGUGCAAUGGCAUAAGCCAGCUUGACUGCGAGCGUGACGGCGCGAGCAGGUGCGAAAGCAGGUCAUAGUGAUCCGGUGGUUCUGAAUGGAAGGGCCAUCGCUCAACGGAUAAAAGGUACUCCGGGGAUAACAGGCUGAUACCGCCCAAGAGUUCAUAUCGACGGCGGUGUUUGGCACCUCGAUGUCGGCUCAUCACAUCCUGGGGCUGAAGUAGGUCCCAAGGGUAUGGCUGUUCGCCAUUUAAAGUGGUACGCGAGCUGGGUUUAGAACGUCGUGAGACAGUUCGGUCCCUAUCUGCCGUGGGCGCUGGAGAACUGAGGGGGGCUGCUCCUAGUACGAGAGGACCGGAGUGGACGCAUCACUGGUGUUCGGGUUGUCAUGCCAAUGGCACUGCCCGGUAGCUAAAUGCGGAAGAGAUAAGUGCUGAAAGCAUCUAAGCACGAAACUUGCC